GGGGUUGUGGCUCAGUGAGUGGUAGAGCUCUCGCCUAGCAGGUGCAGAGCCCUGGGUUCAAUCCUCAGCACCACA
rnacentral:tRNA from 1 species